GUGAGGAAUAUUGCGCAAUGGAGGCAACUCUGACGCAGCCAUGCCGCGUGCAGGAAGAAGGCGCUACGCGUUGUAAACUGCUUUUAACCGGGAAGAAACCCCAGGACGUGUCCUGGGUUGACGGUACCGGAGGAAUAAGCACCGGCUAACUUCGUGCCAGCAGCCGCGGUAAUACGAAGGGUGCAAGCGUUAUCCGGAUUCAUUGGGUUUAAAGGGUGCGUAGGAGGAGCGUUAAGUCAGUGGUGAAAUCCUGCAGCUUAACUGUAGACUUGCCAUUGAUACUGGCGCUCUUGAGUGCGCUGGAAGUGGGCGGAAUGUGCCGUGUAGCGGUGAAAUGCUUAGAUAUGGCACAGAACACCAAUUGCGAAGGCAGCUCACUAAGGCGAUACUGACGCUGAGGCACGAAAGCGUGGGGAUCGAACAGGAUUAGAUACCCGUGUAGUCC
rnacentral:rRNA from 1 species